UUCUCCCUUCCGCGACGAGCUUCUUCGAUUUAAACCUGUCGAAGGUUUCUCACUCCCGAUUGAGAAUCUGAGUAUCGAAGCUGCGUUGUUGAAUGAAGUUCAUCUACGACUAUGGAGCUUUCGGAAUGGAUUACUCAUGCCGCGGAGACGAGCUGAAGUUUAUCCUUGGCCGUGAUGAUCCUCCGUUACUGGAGUUGUAGAUACCUGCUGUUGAGAUCUAUGCCUCUACACAGACAUCAAGUUACCAUUUGUUCAAGCACUUAUGCACUUAGAUAGCUUGGAAUGCAAAACUCAGUAGCAUGAAGUUGAUGAUGAUAAGAGAUAUGAUGCAAGACAAGGAUGUAAAAGGGAGCACACUUUAGUUGUUUACCCUGAGUUCGGCCUCAUUCGAGGUACCUACAUCUCAGGGGUAGGCAAGCUACCAAUCCACUAGAUAAAGAGGUUACAAGCUUUGUCUCUCACCCUCUCAUGUGAAUACAAAGCUAUCUCUCAAACCCCUGUUUCCCCUCUCUCUAGUUUCUCUACUACCAAGCAAUUAUGUGCUUGUAGUACUCUCAGCCUAGGUGUUUAUACACCUCUCCUGCCCUCUUUGGUGCUGUCUCUCAGCACCCCUUGGUGCUCACUCACGUUUAGCUCUAGCACUCUGGUGCUCUGCUCAAGCAGCACACUGAGCUCUGACCUGUUCUCUUUGCUUUUAUACUGCUGGAGCUUUAACCUAAAGCAACAACUAACCAAUAGGUAGAGUUAACCCUUGCUACCAUAACUUGAGUUAAGCUUUGGUUCCUUUUGUCUCCUGCUCCAUUAACCCUUCACGCAAAGCAGUAACUAGCCAGCAUGCUUUCUUUGUCUCAUCUGAGACAAGCCUGCAAACGUACGAACUCAUACCCAACGGAGAGAGAGAGAGAUCACGUGAGUUAAGGGUUUAAGCUUAUCCUUGAAACCCUCUUUGUCCAUCCAAGGCUCUUGCUCCUCUUUUCAAAUGAAACUCUCUUCAACUCAUACUGAAGCUCCAUCUGAUUAAUAACAUGUCUUGGAUUCAAACUAACUCCACACCUGCUAGCUUAGUUAUAGUAGUCUGGCUUGAGUUAGAUUAUUACUGAUCUGUUGCAGAAUGUUGAAUAUAAUUGAGUUUCCAAUUUUAUAAGCAUUCAUAUAGUUAGUUAUAUUAGUAAUGUUGAUUUGUAUUAAGUUAGUUACACAUCAAUUUAGAGAAGAGUUGUGUCUCUCUAAACAUAAAGUCCUGUCUUUCAAACCUGAAGUCGUGUGUUUGUUGUUAUUCUAUUUAACUUUGUUGCCGUAA